AUAAAAGGGAAUUAGAUUUGCUCUAUAGUCGGAGAUGUAAGCAUCAUGGCUUACCAAACCACUACAAAAAAAUUUGAAGAUUGCGACACACAUGUUGCAAGUUGCAAAGAUUGCCAAGGAACCGCCCUCGUUCAUUGUCUGCGACAGUUCCAUACAAUUGCCGCAACAUUUUGGAGAGAAACAUGUUUUUCCUUUACCCCACAUUUCAUUUUUCGCUCUUUGAAGUUGUUCUCGCUCGGACUCUGAAACCAUUUUCCCUCAAAACCCCAAAAUUAUUCCCCCAAAUUAUGAAAUCCUCCAUAUGUCUCAAAUCCUCCAUUUCUCUCAAAUUUCCAAACCUUUGCAAGUGCUGCUUUCUCUCAAUCUCUCAACUUGCCAAACAAUCUAAGCUUUCAAUCCCUCAAGCCGCCAAGCAUUUAAAUCCAAAGAAGAACCAAUCUCAGCAUUCUCUCUGGUGAUGACGUGCUUCCUGCAUCUCUCUGUUUAUGGCACAACGUAACACUUGUCCAUCAAUGGCAUCGUAACACAUCCAAUUUGGGUAUUGUAUCAUAGAUGAUUCCUGGAUGUUUGUUUUGUAACUAUCCUCUAGUUAUUCAAGAUUCCUAGAAAAUAAGAAUCUUGUAUUAUCAAUUCUUGUAUUCAAGCAUUUUAAAAGUUAUCAAUCAGACAAAGAGUAAAGGCCAUAACUUGGGCUCUAGAUAUCGAAUUGACGCACGCGAGUAGGCGUUGGAAAUCGAAGAAUCAGACCCACAACUUUUGUGUUGGAAUAAAAGUCCAGUGCCAAACUUUACUUGGCCAAAAUUGUAGAUUUAGUUAUCUGAGCUUUUGUAAUAAUUUUAAGUAUUGGACCAUUUGUUUUACAAGCCCAAGAAAGCGAAUACAAUAUAUUAAGAGUUUCCUUCUAUUUUG